rnacentral:misc_RNA from 1 species
AAGUAUUCUUCGGUGCAGCCAGCGCUUCCACAGCGCGGCAGCCCAAACCCUACACACUGUGAUUAGUUUUUUUACUAUUUACUUUGGCUGCGCAAGUGGCCAAAGGUCUUAAACACAAAGAUUUAUAUCUUUUUUUACAAAAUUUAGUCAAUGAAGUUUUAAUACUAUAAUCUUCA